AUUGAACGCUGGCGGCAGGCCUAACACAUGCAAGUCGAACGGCUGGCGGACGGGUGAGUCAUGUGUGGGAAACUGCCCGUUGGAGGGGGAUAACUAAUGCAAACGGUAGCACAUACAGCAUCCCAUCGGACGUGCCCAGAUGGGAUGAGCUAGUAGGUGGGGUAACGUCCCACCCAGGCGACGAUCCCUAGCUGGGCUGAGAGGAUGACCAGCCACACUGGAAUUGAGACACGGUCCAGACUCCUACGGGAGGCAGCAGUGGGGAAUAUUGGACAAUGGGCGAAAGCCUGAUGCAGCCAUGCCGCGUGUAUGAAGAAGGCCUUCGGGUUGUAAAGUACUUUAAGCUGGGAGGCGUUACUCGCAGAAGAAGCACCGGCUAACUCCGUGCCAGCAGCCGCGGUAAUUC
rnacentral:rRNA from 1 species